rnacentral:rRNA from 1 species
UACGAAGGGGGCUAGCGUUGUUCGGAAUCACUGGGCGUAAAGCGCACGUAGGCGGAUGUGCCAGUCAGGGGUGAAAUCCUGGAGCUCAACUCCAGAACUGCCUUCGAUACUGGCGAUCUUGAGUCCGGAAGAGGUGAGUGGAACUCCUAGUGUAGAGGUGGAAUUCGUAGAUAUUAGGAAGAACACCAGUGGCGAAGGCGGCUCACUGGUCCGGUACUGACGCUGAGGUGCGAAAGCGUGGGGAGCAAACAGG